AAAGAAUAAAAAGUCCCGUCGUCGCUUUCUCUUUUAUCUCUUUCCCUUCCCCUCUGUGAUGUACGAAGCACGUUAAUGGCGGCUCCGCAUUUCACACAAAUCGAAACCACAGCAUCUUCACUAAACCCUCUCAUGUACUCCUUCCUCUUCUCAUGUCUCCUAUCUCUCUCCCUCUUCUCAUUCAUCUCCGCUACCUACUUCCUCCUCAAAGCCUCCCGCCGCAGAGCUGCUAUCUCCAGCCACAAACUCUCAUCCGAAUCCGAAACCAAACUCGAACCAUCGGAGAUUUCUGAAUCAGCCCAUUACCAAACCGGUGAAGAUGACGAGACCCGUUGUGCAAAAUCGCGUCUUUACGAGUUACUGCUCUGCGAUAAGAAGUCGGAGGAAGAGUCUGAUUGGGAUGGGGAUGAAGGAGUGUCUGCUAAGAAGAAGAAGAGGAAGAGGAGAGGUAAGAAGAAGAAGAAGUCGGAGGUAAGAGGAGGUGGGAAUGAUGAAUCCGGCGGCGAUGGGUUGGUUCCGAAGCUGGAAACUAAACCGGAGUUUGUUUGCUUGUAUCCUUUUACCUCGUCGAGCAGUGCAACGCAGAGGAAGAUCAAGCAGCAGUACGAUCAUCUUGUCAAAUGCAAUAGUGCUAAAGGAUUGACCUUAGCUCAGGUUGGGGAGUUUGCUAACUGUUUGAUAGAAGCCAAAAAUGAAUUACAGAACAAGUCGGAGGUAAUCAAGCGUAAGUAUUCAAUAACAAAAGCUCUUCUCUUCAAGGCUGAUAGGUCUUCCUUUGACCGCCUUCGUCAACAGAUUUACAAGCUGGAGAUGGAACAAAAAAGAGUACAAGAAGAUGCACUUGUAUAUAAUUGGCUCCAACAACAACUAAAACUUUCACCUGCAUACAAAAAGUGUAGGUUCUUGAGAUAAGCGCUUCCAUGGAACUCAAAGACAAAACAAGUACAGAGUUAGACAGUCAAGAUGAUGAAGUUUCAGACAUCUCCUUCGAAGAGCUAUUAGAACAGGAGAAGAAAGACUCCUUUUGGCAUAAAAAUGGAAGAUUACGAACUUGCAGUAGGACAUGAAUUGGUGACUGAAAUUGUUGGUGAUCUGCCGUGAGCUCAGCCGGAGAACCAAAUCCUUUUUAAGUGCUGUGUAUAGAGAGAAAGAGAGAGAGAGAGUUAAACAGACAUAAAAAUAGUUUCCUCCAUAAGCAUAUACGUUGGUUUCUUUUUC